rnacentral:rRNA from 1 species
GACGAACCGAGCGAACGUUGUUCGGAAUCACUGGGCUUAAAGGGCGCGUAGGCGGGCUGUCAAGUCUGGGGUGAAACUCCCGACGGCUACCACCGUGGAACUGCCUUAGAUACUGACGGCCUCGAGGGAGAUAGGGGCGAGCGGAACUGUGAGUGGAGCGGUGAAAUGCGUUGAUAUUCACAGGAACUCCGGUGGCGAAGCGGCUCGCUGGAUCUUUUCUGACGCUGAGGCGCGAAAGCUAGGGGAGCAAACGGG